rnacentral:rRNA from 1 species
AUUGAACGCUGGCGGCAGGCCUAACACAUGCAAGUCGCACGAGUGGCGGCCGGGUGAGUACUGUCUGGGAAACUGCCCGCUGGAGGGGGAUAACUACUGGAAACGGUAGCUAAUACAGCAUCCCAUCGGAUGUGCCCAGAUGGGAUUAGCUAGGAGGUUGGGUAACGGCCCACCUAGGCGACGCUCCCUAGCUGGUCGGAUAGGAUGACCAGCCACACUGGAACGGAGACACGGUCCAGACACCUAAGGAAGGCAGCAGUGGGGAAGAUUGCACAAUGGGCGCAAGCGUGAUGCAGCCAUGCCGCGUGUGUGAAGAAGGCCUUCGGGUGGUAAAGUACUUUCAGCGAUGAGGCGUUACUCGCAGAAGAAGCACCGGCUAACGUCGUGCCAGCAGCCGCGGUAAUUC